UAAACCAAGUACACGAGUAAAGAUAAUUGAGAAAAAAAAAAAAAAGAUUGAUUGGAGGAAGGAGACACAAAACUCACAUCAUAGCAUGUAUAUAAUUUCACUGUAUAUAGCUAAACAAGUACUAGAUAUGUGCUUAUUUGACUUAAAAUCGACUUAUACAACCACCAUACCAACUAACACAACUCGCUAAAUUGAUACAUAUCAUAGUACUAGGUGUCUAGGUCCUUGUAACGUAUCCAAUCGCAUUAACUAGCAUCUUCUUCAAAACAUUUUGACAAUUUGGAUUGCCUGAACAAGUUGAACGAUUCAUUAUAGUAAUACUAACAUCUGCAAAUUAUAAAAUCAGUAAAUUCCUAUCGGAAAAACAGCAAAGAUUUGGAGAAUAUAUUAAACCACGAAUGAACAAAAUUCUAGGACCGAAUCUUCAUCACUAACUGCUAUAAUUCAUAUAUGACUCAAAACCUAGUCGGGGACCACCAAUAUUGGCAAUUCUUGCACGUAUAAACCAGAAAGAAGAACUUCUGCACAUGAAAUUCCAUCAAUAAUCACAAAGCAUCCGCGUAAAGAUAUUAGAAUAAGAUUGUACUUCGUACAACAUUAUAAAUAUUACAAAUAUACCCUACAGUCCCGAGAUUGUAACAUGAAAUAACAGACAAUAGUUGAACAAAAAGUUGACUUUUUAUUGCAUCAGGAUAUAACAUAA
rnacentral:lncRNA from 1 species